GCUGGCUGCAGGUCUCUGUGGUUGCUCUGUAGCAUUAGUAAGCCGAUGACGCUGAACCACCCGUCCCUCAAACCAGCGCAGUUUGUGACCGCCUCAGCUUCUUCCGCAGCUCGUCCUGGCUCAGCAGAGCCAAGAACCUCUCAAAAAAUGGUUCCCCUGCCAUCGCAGCCACUUUAAGCAUUCGGUGUAAUAAGGAAUGCCAUGGUGUUUGGGGUUCUGACUGGUUAGUGGAGGCUGAGGCUAUGAUGGGCAAGGUGAUGAUGAGCAAGGUAAAGAUAAAAGCAGAUCAUCCAGAAUUUACCCGACAAGAAGCCUUGCACUCCAACAAAAUUCCCACGGAAUUUGAAAAAGAAAUCAUCCCACAGCAUCACAGACUCUCCACCUAACAAGUGCCUAUGUUACAUCAUAUUUAUACCCCAAAGGAGCAGAUGUCAUGGAUUUCUAAUUGAAACUUCUCAGACACUCUGAUCAACAAAGAAGCUGGGUAAAAAUCGCAAAAAUGCUUGUUACAUUUCUCUUUAUUCGCUAAUGAUUUGGGCACCUGUGAUUUAGUGAGUAAAAAAUCAUAGAGGUUGGAUUUUGUUUCAGUAUUUAAUUAAACUACUAGAAUAAACCUGAAUAUAUGAAGGUUUGUUCCACGUUUUCCAGGGGUGCCCGUAAGUAAGUCAAACCCAGAAUCAUUUCUAGCUUGAAGAAAGGUCUCUUGGUUCUCCUUUAAACAUUUGCUGUGGGUAAUUUAUUUUUCAGUGUCUACUUUUUCUCAUUCAUAGCCUAAUGGGUUAUCUGCAGACAGAAUCCGCAGUAGUACAAAAUAGAGGAUGACCUUUGGUAACUACUUGGACUGAGAAGGAUAAAAACACAUACAUUCUCCCUCUGACAAAUCUAUUUUUAGGUCAUUUCAGCUCUGCAGUUUAUUUAACACUUAUAUUUAAUAUGUACUUAGCAAGGAGCAUAAAAAAAUGUCUAAAUAUUUAAGGCCAUAAAUGGUUGAACUGCAAGUUUUCUGGUAGAUUAUUCUUGGAAUUUUUAUUGGAGUACUGAGGGACUUAGAGCUGAGGCUGCAGCAUCUUAGAGCUGUAAGGAAAAGGCAGGGGAGUCCUGCAUUUAUUCCGCCCUCGCAGGAUUAAACUUCCAAGGACUCAGAGAUGAAAUGGAGCUGACGGAGGUCUCACCACAGAUUAAGGUGUUUUUCGUCACACAUAAAAAAGGAGACAGGUUAACUUUGUGUGUUUUCUCAUUACGCAGCUUUAUGAUUUUUUAAAAUCUGUAU